rnacentral:rRNA from 1 species
AUGUGGUUUGGAUGGAAUAUGAUCUUAUCUUUUACUCGAAUCAAGAAAAUGCUAGAAGUCUCAAACAAGGGUCCAAAAUGGAAAUAUCAGUUCCUACUCAGUUUGUAUAGCAGAUUAUCAUACUGUUUCAUGAAGUUUGGUUUUGGUAUUUGGCUGCUUGUAUCUUUCAACUUGCAAAUUUAUCACCCAAUAGGAAGUAAAGAUCAUAUGUACAUGAGCUCUGAAUGCAGUAAAAAUGUUAAAUCAUAUUAUAUGAAUAUAUGUGAAUUGGUCAUACUUGGAUUUAUCAGUCUACUAUUCUACAUACUCUUAUGA